AUGGCCAAGCUCGCCGCCGCCCUGACCGUGCUCGCGCUGCUCGGCUGCAUGGCGCGUGAGGGCCAGGCAGACUAUGGGCAUCCCAGCCCACCGCCGCACACCCCGUGCUCUCCUGGCCAUCCUUCGACUCCCCCGAGCACAGCUAGUCCUCCUCCUCCGGCGUCCGUCCCGAGCCCACCAGCCUCGGCGGAGCUCGUCGUCGGCUACUACCAGAAAACGUGCCAUCGCGCCGAAGACAUUGUGAGGGAGACCGUGCGUGGUGCCAAUGCCGGCAUCAUGGCGGGGCUCGUCCGCCUCUUCUUCCACGACUGCUUCAUCAGGGGUUGCGACGCCUCUGUGCUACUUGACGUGGCCGACCCUAGCAGCGCCACGGAGAAGUUCGGCCCCCCGAACCUAAGCCUGCGAGGCUUCGAGGUGAUCGACGCGGCAAAGGCUAGGAUCGAGAAGGAGUGCGGGAACAUCGUCUCAUGCGCCGAUGUCUUAGCCUUCGCUGGUCGUGACGCCACCUACUUCCUCAGCAACAACAAGGUCUACUUUGACAUGCCGGCCGGACGCUACGACGGGCUUGUGUCCCUCAUCAACGAGACACUCAUCCACCUGCCCCCGCCCUUUGCCACCGUGGAGCAGCUCAAGGCCAACUUUGCCUCCAAGGGGCUCUCCGCCGAUGAGAUGGUCACCCUCUCUGGUGCACACACCAUCGGGGCCUCCCACUGCUCAUCCUUCGACGACGACCUCUCCGACCGCCUCAAUGCCAGCACCUCCGACAUGGACCCCAAGCUGAUGGCGUCUCUAGAGAAGCAGUGCAGGUCAGACACCGGCAGCGACAACACGGUGGUGCAGGACAUUAAGACCCCCAACAAGCUAGACAACAAGUACUAUAAGAACGUGCUCAGCCACGAGGUGCUUUUUGCCUCGGACGCUGCGCUCUUGACGGCGGAUGACACAAGUGCAGCGGUGCGCGCCAAUGCCGAGGAUAACAAUGUGUGGGAGGAGAAGUUCAAGGCGGCGAUGGUGAGGAUGGGUGCCAUCGAGAUCAAGACCAGUGCCGAUGGCGAGAUCAGGAGGAGCUGCCGCGUCCUCAACACGUACUAA
rnacentral:rRNA from 1 species